rnacentral:rRNA from 1 species
CUUCGGCCCGAGUUGUAAUUUGCAGAGGAUGUUUAUGGUGCGGUACCUUCCGAGUUCCCUGGAACGGGACGCCACAGAGGGUGAGAGCCCCGUCUGGUUGGAUACCAAACCUGUGUUAAACUCCUUCAACGAGUCGAGUAGUUUGGGAAUGCUGCUCUAAAUGGGAGGUAAAUCUCUUCUAAAGCUAAAUACCGGCCAGAGACCGAUAGCGCACAAGUAGAGUGAUCGAAAGAUGAAAAGCACCUUGAAAAGGGGGUUAAACAGUACGUGAAAUUGUUGAAAGGGAAGCGUUUAUGACCAGACUUGUGUCGUGUGGCUCAUCCGAGGUUCUCCCCGGUGCACUCCACACGGCUCAGGCCAACAUCGGUUCUCGUUGGGGGAUAAGAACAGUAGGAACGUGGCCCCUUUCGGGGGGUGUUAUAGCCUACUGUACGAUACUCUGACGGGGACCGAGGACCGCGCUUCGGCUAGGAUGUUGGCGUAAUGGUCAUUAGCGACCCGUCUUGAAACACGGACCAAGGAGUCGUCCAUUAGAGCGAGCGUUUGGGUGUAAAACCCGCACGCGUAAUGAAAGUGAAAUUAGGUGAGAGCUUCGGCGCAUCAUCGACCGAUCCUGAAGUUUACGGAUGGAUUUGAGUAAGAGUUUUAACGGACGGACCCGAAAGACAGUGAACUAUGCUUGAAUAGGGUGAAGCCAGAGGAAACUCUGGUGGAGGCUCGCAGCGGUUCUGACGUGCAAAUCGAUCGUCAAAUUUGAGCAUGGGGGCGAAAGACUAAUCGAACUGUCUAGUAGCUGGUUACCGCCGAAGUUUCCCUCAGGAUAGCAGUGUUGACCUUCAGUUUUAUGAGGUAAAGCGAAUGAUUAGGGACUCGGGGGCGCUUAUUAGCCUUCAUCCAUUCUCAAACUUUAAAUAUGUAAGAAGCCCUUGUUACUUAAUUGAACGUGGGCAUUCGAAUGUACCAACACUAGUGGGCCAUUUUUGGUAAGCAGAACUGGCGAUGCGGGAUGAACCGAACGGGGGGUUAAGGCGCCAGAAUGUACGCUCAUCAGACACCACAAAAGGCGUUAGUACAUCUUGACAGCAGGACGGUGGCCAUGGAAGUCGGAAUCCGCUAAGGACUGUGUAACAACUCACCUGCCGAAUGUACUAGCCCUGAAAAUGGAUGGCGCUCAAGCGUACUGCCCAUACCCCCCCUUCAGGGUAGAAACGAUGCC